rnacentral:sRNA from 1 species
UACGGAUCCUGAUUGUGGAUUGGGAUGUCCACCACGGUAAUGGAACUCAGCACAUGUUUGAGGAUGACCCCAGUUUAACCCAGAACUGGUGCUGGUCUCAGCUGGCUUUGAUGCUGCACGGGGGGACCCGCUGGGGGGCUGCCAGGUGUCACCUGAGGGUUAUGCCCACCUCACCCACCUGCUGAUGGGCCUUGCCAGUGGCCGCAUUAUCCUUAUCCUAGAGGGUGGCUAUAACCUGACAUCCAUCUCAGAGUCCAUGGCUGCCUGCACUCGCUCCCUCCUUGGAGACCCACCACCCCUGCUGACCCUGCCACGGCCCCCACUAUCAGGGGCCCUGGCCUCAAUCACUGAGACCAUCCAAGUCCAUCGCAGAUACUGGCGCAGCUUACGGGUCAUGAAGGUAGAAGACAGAGAAGGACCCUCCAGUUCUAAGUUGGUCACCAAGAAGGCACCCCAACCAGCCAAACCUAGGUUAGCUGAGCGGAUGACCACACGAGAAAAGAAGGUUCUGGAAGCAGGCAUGGGGAAAGUCACCUCGGCAUCAUUUGGGGAAGAGUCCACUCCAG